AGGAGAAGUCGUAACAAGGUUACCGUAGGUGAACCUGCGGUAGGAUCAUUGACACUUUUACAACAAAAAAAAACAUGUGAAUUGAAAUGAAAGUUUAUAUUUUUUCACAAAUAUAAAUUCUUCUUUAUUGAAGAAAUGUAAUUUUUAAAUGACAGAAAAAAGUUUUCCGUAAUGGAAAAUUUUUAAAAUCAAAUUAAAAAUACAUUUUCAACAAUGGAUCUCUUGGCUCUC
rnacentral:misc_RNA from 1 species